UCCGGUUUGUCACCGGCAGUCUCUCUAGAGUGCCCAACUAAAUGAUGGCAACUAAAGAUAAGGGUUGCGCUCGUUGCGGGACUUAACCCAACAUCUCACGACACGAGCUGACGACAACCAUGCACCACCUGUCACCAUUGUCCCCGAAGGGAAAGCUAUGUCUCCAUAGCGGUCAAUGGGAUGUCAAGACCUGGUAAGGUUCUUCGCGUUGCUUCGAAUUAAACCACAUGCUCCACCGCUUGUGCGGGCCCCCGUCAAUUCCUUUGAGUUUCAGUCUUGCGACCGUACUCCCCAGGCGGAGUGCUUAAUGCGUUAGCUGCAGCACUGAGGGGCGGAAACCCCCCAACACUUAGCACUCAUCGUUUACGGCGUGGACUAC
rnacentral:misc_RNA from 1 species